CCCACUCACCCGGACUACAGAUUCGAUAUUGCCAUAUAUGGCUUUAAUCCAGCCUCGGAAGGUCGGGCCAAAUCCGGUCGCCCGGAGGACUGCCGCCAGAUAUUCGUGGUCAACCCUAUCGAACACCUUAGACUGGUCCAAAUUCACCAGUGCCCCACCGUUGCCAUGCAUUUUACCCACCUGCUCUAUGGUGUAGUGAAUGGGGUGAAGGUUGUCUUAGCAACUGGCAAAAGA